rnacentral:rRNA from 1 species
AUUGAACGCUGGCGGCAGGCCUAACACAUGCAAGUCGAACGAGUGGCGGACGGGUGAGUAAUGUCUGGGAAACUGCCCGAUGGAGGGGGAUAACUACUGGAAACGGUAGCUAAUACCGCAUACCAUCGGAUGUGCCCAGCUGGGAUGAGCUUGUAGGUGAGGUAACGGCUCACCUAGGCGACGAUCCCUAGCUGGUCUGAGAGGAUGACCAGCAACACGGGAACUGAGACACGGUCCAGACUCGUAAGGGAGGGAGAAGGGGGGAAUAUUGCACAAGUGGCGCAAUACUGAUGCAGCCAUGCCGCGUGUAUGAAGAAGGCCUUCGGGUGGUAAAGUACUGUCAGCGGGGAGGCGUUACCCUCAGAAGAAGCACCGGCUAACUCCGUGCCAGCCGCCGCGGUAAUAC